AUUGAACGCUGGCGGCAUGCCUUACACAUGCAAGUCGAACGGUAGAAGGGGCAACCCUUCGAGAGUGGCGAACGGGUGAGUAAAGCAUCGGAACGUGCCCAGUCGUGGGGGAUAACACUUCGAAAGAAGUGCUAAUACCGCAUACGACCUGAGGGUGAAAGCGGGGGACCGAAAGGCCUCGCGCGAUUGGAGCGGCCGAUGUCAGAUUAGGUAGUUGGUGGGGUAAAGGCCUACCAAGCCUGCGAUCUGUAGCUGGUCUGAGAGGAUGAUCAGCCACACUGGGACUGAGACACGGCCCAGACUCCUACGGGAGGCAGCAGUGGGGAAUUUUGGACAAUGGGCGCAAGCCUGAUCCAGCCAUGCCGCGUGCAGGAAGAAGGCCUUCGGGUUGUAAACUGCUUUUGUCAGGGAAGAAAUCUUUUGGGUUAAUAACCUGGGAGGAUGACGGUACCUGAAGAAUAAGCACCGGCUAACUACGUG
rnacentral:rRNA from 1 species